rnacentral:lncRNA from 1 species
GCUAAAGAGGCUUCUCUCUCUUCUCUCUUUCGUAUCCUUGAGAGAGAGAAAGCCUAUGUCCUGUUUGUUUGUUAAUAUUCUGAUUUCGAUCAGAUCUUAUAUGUUUCGGCGAGACCGAAUAAAAAUUCCGACUAGAUUGCUCCUUUUUGCUGUAUCAUAUCUUUUUAGUCGGAUUUUAUAUUUCCGUUUUAACGGAUUUUGUGUUUCAGUUUUUGGAUUUCCUUUUGCUAUUUAAGAUCGAUUCUUCAUAUGGUGAGAGUAAUCUUCACUAGUCCUUAGUGGAGUGAAGAAUCUCUACAUGUUUGAAGAAUUGGUUAUGUUGUGUUCUUAGAUGAUAAAGCAAAAGGUUUUUCCAUGUUUAGUUUCUAUGUCACUCUUCUACAAAUCUGGCUAAUCCCCUUAAGUGAAGCGGUAAGACCUAGAUUCAAAGAUGGUCGUGGAAGCUUAUACUCUAAUGUUCGGCAUCGUCCUCUCCUGACUGGGAGUUAUUUCUCCCUAAUUUCCCUUAAAAAGAAGCCUUUAUCAAGGCGAAGGGUGAAAGUCACGAGCAUGUGAUGAUCGGAAGAAAAUCUUAAGGAGACGAGAAGAUAACCGGCCACUCAGGAUCUAAUUCACUUUCUAUGUAGAAGAUGUUUACAUGAUGGUACUGGCGGAAACAACAAAGUUGUUAAAGCAGCACGGUGGUGAAGAAAGAUGAAGAGUCACCGGCGGCGGAGGACGCCAUGGAAGCGGUGAUGAUCAACACAGAAGUGGUGAUGGAUCAGCUCAAUGGACGACACUUAUUCCUUAGGUUAAUGGGUUUACAUGUAUUCUCAUACAUGUCUCAUUUGUAUUUUACGUUUUAUUGGGCUGUUUGACUUUGGGCUUACGCCUAUGUAUCAUUUACUCUUGCCUUAAUGGCUUCAAUACAAAUCUGAAGUUGACGAC